rnacentral:rRNA from 1 species
GACGAACGCUGGCGGCGUGCUUAACACAUGCAAGUCGAACGGUGACCCAGGGCUUGCCCUGGUGAUCAGUGGCGAACGGGUGAGUAACACGUGGGCAACCUGCCCCUGACUUCGGGAUAACUCCUCGAAAGAGGAGCUAAUACCGGAUACGACCACUUCGGACAUCCGAUGGUGGUGGAAAGUUUUUCGGUCAGGGAUGGGCCCGCGGCCUAUCAGCUAGUUGGUGGGGUAAUGGCCUACCAAGGCGACGACGGGUAGCCGGCCUGAGAGGGCGACCGGCCACACUGGGACUGAGACACGGCCCAGACUCCUACGGGAGGCAGCAGUGGGGAAUAUUGCGCAAUGGGCGAAAGCCUGACGCAGCGACGCCGCGUGAGGGAUGAAGGCCUUCGGUUGGUAACCUACUUUCAGCAGGACGAAGCGAAAGUGACGGUACCUGCAGAAGAAG